UGGGAUUUGUGCUGAAAAGUGCUGAUAACACAGGGACGUUUUCACUAUUGUUGAGCAGGGAUUACACUUUUUUACCUCCCACCCCACCAGUGAGGAGGCUGGGAAUGCACAAGUUGGGAGGAGCACAGCCAGGAAAGCUGACCUCAAGAGACACAGGGAUAUAUCCCAGACCAUAUGGAGUCACACUCAGUACAUAAAGCUGAGAGAAGAAGAAAGAAGGGGGAGGUUCAGAGUGAUGGUGUCACUGUUCCACAUGAUGGAGCCCUGCUUUCCUGGAGAUGGCUGAACACCUGCCUUCCCAUGGAAUGUGAGACAUCCUCCACUGAUGUGAUCCAGCUGUGCAGCCUCCUGAGUUCCAGCAAGGGCACGUAGCCUGCACAAGCAGCUCCAACACGGUGGGAACUGAAGUAACCGGUGAAAAAUAAGCCCAGGCAGUGAACAAUUCAAGGACAAUGUGAGAGGAAUAACCGUGUCUAGAAUACUGAAAGAAGGAUAUCCUUACUGGCUUUCCUUGAUGACUGCCUCCUGAGGAAGAGGAACC